CUCCUGUGACGCGAGUGGCGGACGGGUGAGUAACACGUAGGCAACCUGCCCACCAGACCGGGAUAACCACGGGAAACCGUGGCUAAUACCGGAUAAUCCUUCCCCACAUAAGUGGGGGAGUUGAAAGGCGGCUUCGGCUGUCACUGGUGGAUGGGCCUGCGGCGCAUUAGCUGGUUGGUGGGGUAACGGCCCACCAAGGCGACGAUGCGUAGCCGACCUGAGAGGGUGAUCGGCCACACUGGGACUGAGACACGGCCCAGACUCCUACGGGAGGCAGCAGUAGGGAAUCUUCCGCAAUGGACGAAAGUCUGACGGAGCAACGCCGCGUGAGUGAAGAAGGGUUUCGGCUCGUAAAACUCUGUUGUCAGGGAAGAACGCCGACGGGAGUAACUGCCCGUCGGGUGACGGUACCUGACCAGAAAGCCACGGCUAACUACGUGCCAGCAGCCGCGGUAAUACGUAGGUGGCAAGCGUUAUCCGGAAUUAUUGGGCGUAAAGCGCGCGUAGGCGGUUCGUUAAGUCUGAUGUGAAAGCCCCCGGCUCAACCGGGGAGGGUCAUUGGAAACUGGCGAACUUGAGUGCAGAAGAGGAGAGUGGAAUUCCAUGUGUAGCGGUGAAAUGCGCAGAAUAUGGAGGAACACCAGUGGCGAAGGCGGCUCUCUGGUCUGUAACUGACGCUGAGUGCGAAAGCGUGGGGAUCAAACAGGAUUAGAUACCCUGGAGUCCACGCCGUAAACGAUGAUGCUAAGUGUUGGGGGUUUCCGCCCCUUAUGCUGCAGCUAACGCAUUAAGCACUCCGCCUGGGGAGUACGCCGCAGGUUGAAACUCA
rnacentral:rRNA from 1 species